rnacentral:rRNA from 1 species
GGCUCAGGAUGAACGCUAGCGACAGGCUUAACACAUGCAAGUCGAGGGGCAGCACGGUGUAGCAAUACACUGGUGGCGACCGGCGCACGGGUGAGUCACACGUGUGCAACCAACCCCGUACCGGGAGAUAACCCGCGGAAACGUGGACUAACAUCCCAUAACACUCUUCCAUCGCAUGAAGGGGGAUUUAAAACCCCGGUGGUACGGGACGGGCACGCGCGACAUUAGGUAGUUGGCGGGGUAACGGCCCACCAAGCCGACGAUGUCCAGGGGUUCUGAGAGGAAGGUCCCCCACACUGGAACUGAGACACGGUCCAGACUCCUACGGGAGGCAGCAGUGAGGAAUAUUGGUCAAUGGGCGAGAGCCUGAACCAGCCAAGUCGCGUGAGGGAAGAAUGGUCUAUGGCCUGUAAACCUCUUUUACGAGAGAAGAAUAAGAAGCACGCGUGCUUUGAUGCCAGUAUCUCGUGAAUAAGCAUCGGCUAACUCCGUGCCAGCAGCCGCGGUAAUACGGGGGAUGCGAGCGUUAUCCGGAUUUAUUGGGUUUAAAGGGCGCGUAGGCGGGACGUCAAGUCAGCGGUAAAAGACUGCAGCUAAACUGUAGCACGCCGUUGAAACUGGCGCCCUAGAGAGAAGUCGAGGGAGGCGGAACAAGUGAAGUAGCGGUGAAAUGCAUAGAUAUCACUUGGAACCCCGAUAGCGAAGGCAGCUUCCCAGCCUUUAUCUGACGCUGAUGCGCGAGAGCGUGGGUAGCGAACAGGAUUAGAUACCCUGGUAGUCCACGCCGUAAACGAUGCUCACUGGAUCUGGGCGAUACACCGUCCGGGUUCAAGCGAAAGUAUUAAGUGAGCCACCUGGGGAGUACGUCGGCAACGAUGAAACUCAAAGGAAUUGACGGGGGCCCGCACAAGCGGAGGAACAUGUG